rnacentral:rRNA from 1 species
UACGUAGGGGACGAGCGUUGUCCGGAAUUAUUGGGCGUAAAGAGCGUGUAGGCGGCUACUCAAGUCCUGCGUGAAAUCUCGAGGCUCAACCUCGAGCGGUCGUGGGAAACUGGGUGGCUAGAGUGCGGGAGAGGAGAGUGGAAUCCCAGUGUAGCGGUGAAAUGCGCAGAUAAUCGGGAGGAACACCUAUGGCGAAGGCAGCUCGCUGGGACGUUACUGAGCUGGAGAACGCGGAAAGCGUGGGGAGCAAACAGG